rnacentral:rRNA from 1 species
AACGCGAAGAACCUUACCUGGGUUUGACAUGGAGAGGACGACAUCAGAAAUGAUGUUUCCCCGCAAGGGGCCUUUUCACAGGUGCUGCAUGGCUGUCGUCAGCUCGUGCCGUGAGGUGUUGGGUUAAGUCCCGCAACGAGCGCAACCCUUGUCGUUAGUUGCCAGCGCGUAAUGGCGGGCACUCUAGCGAGACUGCCUCGGUUAACGAGGAGGAAGGUGAGGAUGACGUCAAGUCCGCAUGGCCCUUAUACCCAGGGCUACACACGUGCUACAAUGGCCGGUACAGAAGGCAGCGAAGUCGCGAGAUGGAGCAAAUCCAAAAAGCCGGCCCCAGUUCAGAUUGUAGUCUGCAACUCGACUACAUGAAGAUGGAAUUGCUAGUAAUGGCGAGUCAGCAACAUCGCCGUGAAUACGUUCCCGGGCCUUGUA